UGUAAACAGUGCUGCAAUGAACAUUUGUGUACAAGUUUUCUUAUAGUAGAACGUUUUAUAAUACUUUGGAUAUAUACCCAGUAAUGGGAUUGCUGGGUCAAAUGGAAUUUCUAUUUCUAGGUCCUUGAGGAAUUGCCACACUGUCUUCCACAAUGGUUGAACUAAUUUACACUCCCAC